ACGUAGGUGGCAAGCGUUGUCCGGAUUUAUUGGGUUUAAAGGGUGCGUAGGCGGUUCUAUAAGUCAGUGCUGAAAUAUCCCGGCUUAACCGGGAGGGUGGCAUUGAUACUGCAGGACUUGAGUAAAGUUGAGGUAGGCGGAAUUGACGGUGUAGCGGUGAAAUGCUUAGAUAUCGUCAAGAACACCGAUAGUGAAGACAGCUUACUAAACUAUAACUGACGCUGAGGCACGAAAGUGUGGGGAUCAAACAGGA
rnacentral:rRNA from 1 species